GCGGGAAAAGCUCAAAUUUAAAAUCUGGCGGUCUCUGGCCGUCCGAGUUGUAAUCUAGAGAAGUGUUAUCCGCGCUGGACCGUGUACAAGUCUCCUGGAAUGGAGCGUCAUAGAGGGUGAGAAUCCCGUCUUUGACACGGACUGCCAGGGCUUUGUGAUGCGCUCUCAAAGAGUCGAGUUGUUUGGGAAUGCAGCUCAAAAUGGGUGGUAAAUUCCAUCUAAAGCUAAAUAUUGGCGAGAGACCGAUAGCGAACAAGUACCGUGAGGGAAAGAUGAAAAGAACUUUGGAAAGAGAGUUAAACAGUACGUGAAAUUGCUGAAAGGGAAACGCUUGAAGUCAGUCGCGUUGGCCGGGGAUCAACCUUGCUUUUGCUGGGCGUACUUUCCGGUUGACGGGUCAGCAUCAAUUUUGACCGUUGGAUAAAGUCCAGGGGAAUGUGGCAUCUUCGGAUGUGUUAUAGCCCUUGGUCGCAUACAACGGUUGGGAUUGAGGAACUCAGCACGCCGCAAGGCCGGGUACUUGUACCACGUUCGUGCUUAGGAUGCUGGCAUAAUGGCUUUAAUCGACCCGUCUUGAAACACGGACCAAGGAGUCUAACAUGCCUGCGAGUGUUUGGGUGGAAAACUCGGACGCGUAAUGAAAGUGAAAGUUGAGAUCCCUGUCGUGGGGAGCAUCGACGCCCGGACCAGACCUUUUGUGACGGAUCCGCGGUAGAGCAUGUAUGUUGGGACCCGAAAGAUGGUGAACUAUGCCUGAAUAGGGUGAAGCCAGAGGAAACUCUGGUGGAGGCUCGUAGCGAUUCUGACGUGCAAAUCGAUCGUCAAAUUUGGGUAUAGGGGCGAAAGACUAAU
rnacentral:rRNA from 1 species